rnacentral:rRNA from 1 species
GAUGAACGCUGGCUACAGGCUUAACACAUGCAAGUCGAGGGGAAACGGCACUGAGUGCUUGCACUGAAUGGACGUCGACCGGCGCACGGGUGAGUAACGCGUAUCCAACCUUCCCGUUACUGCGGGAUAACCUGCCGAAAGGCAGACUAAUACCGCAUGUUCUUCGAUGACGGCAUCAGAUUUGAAGCAAAGACUCGUCGGUAACGGAGGGGGAUGCGUCUGAUUAGCUAGUUGGCGGGGCGACGGCCCCCAAGGCGACGAUCAGUAGGGGUUUGAGAGGAAGGUCCCCCACAUUGGAAAUGAGACACGGUCCAAACUCCUACGGGAGGCAGCAGUGAGGAAUAUUGGUCAAUGGGCGGAAGCCGUGAACCAGCCAAGUAGCGUGCAUGGACGACGGCCCUAUGGGUUGUAAACUGCUUUUAUGCGGGGAUAAAGUGAGGGACGCGUCCCUUUUUGCAGGUACCGCAUGAAUAAGGACCGGCUAAUUCCGUGCCAGCAGCCGCGGUAAUACGGAAGGUCCGGGCGUUAUCCGGAUUUAUUGGGUUUAAAGGGAGCGUAGGCCGGGGAUUAAGUGUGUUGUGAAAUGUAGGCGCCCAACGUCUGACUUGCAGCGCAUACUGGUUCCCUUGAGUACGCGCAACGCCGGCGGAAUUCGUCGUGUAGCGGCGAAAUGCUUAGAUAUGACGAAGAACCCCGAUUGCGAAGGCAGCCGGCGGGAGCGCAACUGACGCUGAAGCUCGAAGGUGCGGGUAUCGAACAGGAUUAGAUACCCUGGUAGUCCGCACGGUAAACGAUGGAUGCCCGCUGUCGGCGCCUUGCGCCGGCGGCCAAGCGAAAGCGUUAAGCAUCCCACCUGGGGAGUACGCCGGCAACGGUGAAACUCAAAGGAAUUGACGGGGGCCCGCACAAGCGGAGGAACAUGUGGUUUAAUUCGAUGAUACGCGAGGAACCUUACCCGGGCUUGAAUUGCAGGAGAACGAUACAGAGAUGUUGAGGUCCUUCGGGACUCCUGCGAAGGUGCUGCAUGGUUGUCGUCAGCUCGUGCCGUGA